AAUAUGGGUCAAUGGGCGAAAGCCUGUCCCAGUCAGGCCUUGUGAGUGCAUUAGGUCUUCUGUUAGUAAAUCACUUUAUGUUGGGAGGAAGGGCCUUAGGUUAAUACCCAGAAGUUUUGACGUUACCAACAGAUUAAGUUUCGGCUAACUCUGAGCUAGCAGCCGGGGUAAUACAGAUGGUCCAAGCGUUAAUCGGAAUUACUGGGCGUAAAGCUGGCGUAGGUAGUUCAGUAAGAUGGGUGUGAAAACCCCGGGCUUAACCUGGGAACUGCUUUCAUAACUGCUGAGCUAGAGUACGGUAGAGGGUAGUGGAAUUUCCUGUGUAGCGGUGAAAUGCGUAGAUAUAAGAAGGAACACCAGUGGCGAAGGCGACUACCUGGACUGAUACUGACACUGAGGUGCGAAAGCGUGGGGAGCAAAC
rnacentral:rRNA from 1 species